rnacentral:rRNA from 1 species
AACGAACGCUGGCGGCAUGCCUAACACAUGCAAGUCGAACGAGACCUUCGGGUCUAGUGGCGCACAGGUGCGUAACGCGUGGGAACCUGCCCUUAGGUUCGGAAUAACUCCCCGAAAGGGGUGCUAAUACCGGAUAAUGUCUUCGGACCAAAGAUUUAUCGCCUUUGGAUGGGCCCGCGUUGGAUUAGCUAGUUGGUAGGGUAAAAGCCUACCAAGGCGACGAUCCAUAGCUGGUCUGAGAGGAUGAUCAGCCACACUGGGACUGAGACACGGCCCAGACUCCUACGGGAGGCAGCAGUGGGGAGUAUUGGACAAUGGGCGAAAGCCUGAUCCAGCAAUGCCGCGUGAGUGAUGAAGGCCUUAGUGUUGUAAAGCUCUUUUACCCGGGAUGAUAAUGACAGUACCGGGAGAAUAAGCUCCGGCUAACUCCGUG